UACGGGGGGGGCAAGCGUUGCUCGGAAUUACUGGGCGUAAAGGGCUCGUAGGCGGCCAACUAAGUCAUACGUGAAAUCCCCCGGCUUAACCGGGGAACUGCGUCUGAUACUGGAUGGCUUGAGUUCGGGAGAGGGAUGCGGAAUUCCAGGUGUAGCGGUGAAAUGCGUAGAUAUCUGGAGGAACACCGGUGGCGAAGGCGGCAUCCUGGACCGAUACUGACGCUGAGGAGCGAAAGCCAGGGGAGCAAACGGG
rnacentral:rRNA from 1 species